GUACUAGCUGCGGCAGUACAUAUUCUAGAAUUGGAGCGAUACAGAGGAGAUUAGUAUGGCACCUGCGCAAGGAUGAAACGCAAAUUCUUGAAGCGUUCCAUAUUUUG
rfam:Octopus bimaculoides Scaffold6917_contig_40, whole genome shotgun sequence.